UACAGAGGGUGCAAGCGUUAAUCGGAUUUACUGGGCGUAAAGAGCUCGUAGGCGGUUUGUCGCGUCUGCCGUGAAAGUCCGGGGCUUAACCCCGGAUCUGCGGUGGGUACGGGCAGACUAGAGUGCAGUAGGGGAGACUGGAAUUCCUGGUGUAGCGGUGAAAUGCGCAGAUAUCAGGAGGAACACCGAUGGCGAAGGCAGGUCUCUGGGCUGUAACUGACGCUGAGGAGCGAAAGCAUGGGGAGCGAACAGG
rnacentral:rRNA from 1 species